rnacentral:rRNA from 1 species
UGGGGAAUUUUGGACAAUGGGCGAAAGCCUGAUCCAGCAAUGCCGCGUGUGUGAAGAAGGCCUUCGGGUUGUAAAGCACUUUUGUCCGGAAAGAAAUCCUUGGCUCUAAUACAGUCGGGGGGUAUACGGUACCGGAAGAAUAAGCACCGGCUAACUACGUGCCAGCAGCCGCGGUAAUACGUAGGGUGCAAGCGUUAAUCGGAAUUACUGGGCGUAAAGCGUGCGCAGGCGGUUUGCUAAGACCGAUGUGAAAUCCCCGGGCUCAACCUGGGAACUGCAUUGGUGACUGGCAGGCUAGAGUAUGGCAGAGGGGGGUAGAAUUCCACGUGUAGCAGUGAAAUGCGUAGAGAUGUGGAGGAAUACCGAUGGCGAAGGCAGCCCCCUGGGCCAAUACUGACGCUCAUGCACGAAAGCGUGGGGAGCAAACAGGAUUAGAUACCCUGGUAGUCCACGCCCUAAAACGAUGUCAACUAGUUGUUGGGGAUUCAUUUCCUUAGUAACGUAGCUAACGCGUGAAGUUGACCGCCUGGGGGAGUACGGUCGCAAGAUUAAAACUCAAAUGAAUUGACGGGGUCAUAGCUGUUUCCU